rnacentral:rRNA from 1 species
AAAUGAAUUGACGGGAGCCCGCACAAGCAGUGGAGUAUGUGGUUCAAUUCGACGCAACGCGAAGAACCUUACCGGAGCUUGACAUCCGGCGAAGACCCAUGUAAUGAGGGUCGUGCCUCGCAAGAGGAGCGCCGAGACAGGUGGUGCAUGGUUGUCGUCAGCUCGUGUCGUGAGAUGUUGGGUUAAGUCCCGCAACGAGCGCAACCCUUACGGUUAGUUGCUACGAAAGAGCACUCUAGCCGGACUGCCGUUGACAAAACGGAGGAAGGUGGGGACGAUGUCAAAUCAUCAUGCCCCUUACGCCCCGGGCCACACACGUACUACAAUGGCGCAAACAAAGGGAAGCGAAGCCGCGAGGCGGAGCAAACCCCGGAAAAUGCGUCCCAGUUCGGACUGCAGGCUGCAACUCGCCUGCACGAAGUUGGAAUUGCUAGUAAUCGCGGAUCAGCAUGCCGCGGUGAAUACGUUCCCGGGCUUUGUACACACCGCCCGU